rnacentral:rRNA from 1 species
AAUAGUUCCGGGCCUUGUACACACCGCCCGUCAAGCCAUGGAAGUUGGGGGUACCUGAAGUCGAUCACCGCAAGGAGUCGCCUAGGGUAAAACCAAUGACUGGGCU